CUUUUUUUUAUCCUCUCUGCAAAUCUUUUACUCAUAACGAUGUUGUUUUUUAUCUGUACAGGAUUAACAAACCCUUUUGUAAACUCUCGAAAGAAGAUUUCUUGAUGCAAAUCAGGGAAGGUACGUUAUAAAGAUAACUGCGAAACCCUAAAGCUAGAUCUACCCUCUACAUAUAAAUAGAGGUUAAAUCCUAACUCAAAAGGUAAGGAUUUGUUAAUCCUUUUCCACACAAUACACCUGUGAAGAAACUUUCUCUGAUUUUAGCAUCAGAGUGUUUUUUGCAGGUACCCCACCAUUCAACAUCAAUCACAUCAGCAAUUUCUUAUGAAGUUGAAUCAGUAGUUGGAGAUCAAUCAAUCGAUAUCAAUCACAAUUUCAUCAGCAUCUUUGGUGGAUCAAAUUUAAGAAGGAGAUUUCAUCCAUCUACACGCAUCUCGAAGAGUGUUGGGAUGAAUAUUUUUGCACCAACAAGUAGCAUGUUUCCUCGCCUAAAAUUAUACUUGGAAUAAUUUGCUCAUUUGUAAAACUUUUUAGCGGCCGUUAAUUGAAAGUCAUAAUCCCCUCAAACAAUUAUUCUUCAAGCACAUUGUACGGAUAAGUUUUUGAUGGGGCAUUUUUUGAUGGGUGCACGGGGAACAAAUAGUAUGUCGACAUAUUUUUUUCCUAAUACGAAAUAGGUAUCUUAAGAAUCUUAAGAAGGCAUAAUUGGAGGAUACUCUCAGAUAUUUCAGGUUAAAUAGGGCUGGAUUUUGGUUAAAAGGGUAGUUUUAAGAGUGAAAAGACCAUAUUGUCCUUUAUCAUAAUAAGAAGAAAAAGAAAACCUAAAUCAUUUUGUAUCCCCAUUCUCUCUUCUUUUCAUAGUGCCGAUUCUUCCUCUUCUUUCCUUUUUUUUUUGUUUCUUCCAUUAAUCAUUGAUUCCAAAA